rnacentral:rRNA from 1 species
UACGGAGGGGGCUAGCGUUGUUCGGAAUUACUGGGCGUAAAGCGCACGUAGGCGGAUUUGUAAGUCAGGGGUGAAAUCCCGGGGCUCAACCUCGGAACUGCCUUUGAUACUGCAAAUCUCGAGUCCGGAAGAGGUGAGUGGAAUUGCUAGUGUAGAGGUGAAAUUCGUAGAUAUUAGGAAGAACACCAGUGGCGAAGGCGGCUCACUGGUCCGGUACUGACGCUGAGGUGCGAAAGCGUGGGGAGCAAACAGG